CGUCCGAAGGCGCCGCGGACCAGCAGCGCCACCCAGCCAUGCGACUUCUCUGCCUACUGCUCGUCUUGAGUGUGCUUGGAACGCCGGUGUCCGGGGGAGGGAGCUUCCCUCCUUGCCAUCCACGAGAUCCCUGUCCAGCAAAUACACGCUGCUGUCGCGUCACGUGGAGUUCCGUAUGCCUCUGUAUGCCUGGCGGAUGCGGCAUGCAGGGCCAAUGCCUCGCCGGGGAUAGACGGCAAUGAUGUUUACUGAAGAAGACCUUUAGAUCCCUUAUAUGUGAGCCACAUUUAUGUUCUGAAAGACCCGAAAAUAUACAAGGAAUCAA